rnacentral:rRNA from 1 species
UGGGGAAUAUUGGACAAUGGGGGGAACCCUGAUCCAGCCAUGCCGCGUGUGUGAAGAAGGCCUUAUGGUUGUAAAGCACUUUAAGCGAGGAGGAGGGUACUGGUAUUAAUACUACCAGGUACUGGACGUUACUCGCAAAAUAAGCACCGGCUAACUCUGUGCCAGCAGCCGCGGUAAUACAGAGGGUGCAAGCGUUAAUCGGAAUUACUGGGCGUAAAGCGCGCGUAGGUGGUUCGUUAAGUUGAAUGUGAAAGCCCCGGGCUCAACCUGGGAACUACAUCCAAAACUGGCGAGCUAGAGUAGGGCAGAGGGUGGUGGAAUUUCCUGUGUAGCGGUGAAAUGCGUAGAUAUAGGAAGGAACACCAGUGGCGAAGGCGACCACCUGGGCUCAUACUGACACUGAGGUGCGAAAGCGUGGGGAGCAAACAGG